rnacentral:rRNA from 1 species
GAUGAACGCUGGCGGCGUGCCUAAUACAUGCAAGUCGAGCGAAUGGAUUAAGAGCUUGCUCUUAUGAAGUUAGCGGCGGACGGGUGAGUAACACGUGGGUAACCUGCCCAUAAGACUGGGAUAACUCCGGGAAACCGGGGCUAAUACCGGAUAACAUUUUGAACCGCAUGGUUCGAAAUUGAAAGGCGGCUUCGGCUGUCACUUAUGGAUGGACCCGCGUCGCAUUAGCUAGUUGGUGAGGUAACGGCUCACCAAGGCAACGAUGCGUAGCCGACCUGGGAGGGUGAUCGGCCACACUGGGACUGAGACACGGCCCAGACUACUACGGGAGGCAGCAGUAGGGAAUCUUCCGCAAUGGACGAAAGUCUGACGGAGCAACGCCGCGUGAGUGAUGAAGGCUUUCGGGUCGUAAAACUCUGUUGUUAGGGAAGAACAAGUGCUAGUUGAAUAAGCUGGCACCUUGACGGUACCUAACCAGAAAGCCACGGCUAACUACGUGCCAGCAGCCGCGUAA